AAAAUAUGCGAGGCAUUUGGUGCAAAUCGAUACCCUUUUACUGAGGACUUGGGGAAACAAGCCCAAAUGAUUGCCGAGGUUUCUGGGAAACUGUCUGAGCUGAAGACUACAAUAGAUUUAGGGCUGCUGCACCGGGGUAAUCUGUUGCAGACUAUUGGAGAACAUUUUGAAAAUUGGAAUCUCCUGGCGAGGAAGGAAAAGUCCAUAUACCAUAUCUUGAACAUGCUUAGCCUUGAUGUAACAAAAAAAUGUCUGGUUGCUGAGGGGUGGGGUCCUGUUUUUGCAACAAAACAGAUUCAAGAUGCACUCCAGCGAGCAGCAGCUGAUUCCAACUCCCAAGUUGGACCAAUUUUCCAGGUUUUAUUAACUACCGAAGCACCACCUACUUAUUUUCGGACAAACAAAUUCUCCUCGGCUUUUCAAGAAAUUGUGGAUGCAUAUGGGGUGGCAAGGUAUCAAGAGGCAAAUCCUGGUGUAUACACCAUUGUCACGUUCCCAUUUCUAUUUGCUGUUAUGUUUGGCGAUUGGGGGCAUGGAAUAUGUCUGUUCCUUGCAACCCUGUAUUUUAUACUACGGGAAAAGAAACUUUCUUCUCAGAAGCUUGGAGAUAUCACUGAAAUGGCCUUUGGUGGACGCUAUGUCAUUUUGAUGAUGUCACUUUUUUCGAUAUACACAGGUCUGAUCUAUAAUGAGUUCUUUUCUGUCCCAUUUGGACUGUUUGGUCGCUCAGCCUAUGAAUGUCGUAGUUCUGAUUGCAGUGAUUCUACCACUAUGGGGUUGAUAAAGGUGGGUUCUACGUAUCCAUUUGGCUUGGAUCCUGUAUGGCACGGCACUCGAAGCGAGCUUCCAUUUCUUAACUCUCUGAAAAUGAAAAUGUCGAUCCUCCUUGGAGUUGCACAAAUGAACCUUGGAAUUAUAAUAAGCUAUUUCAAUGCUACAUUUUUCAGGAACAGCAUUAAUAUUUGGUUCCAAUUCCUGCCACAGAUGAUAUUCCUAAACAGCCUUUUCGGCUAUCUUUCCCUUCUCAUCAUCAUAAAGUGGUGCACUGGUUCAAAUGCUGAUCUGUAUCACGUAAUGAUAUACAUGUUUCUGGGCCCUACUGGUGAUCUGGCUGAAAACCAACUUUUUCCUGGGCAGAAAAAUGUUCAGAUUGUGCUGCUCUUACUUGCCCUUGUUGCUGUGCCAUGGAUGCUGCUUCCGAAGCCUUUUCUUUUGAAGAGACAACACGAACAGAGGUUCCAAGGCCAAUCUUAUGCGCCCCUUCCAAGUGCUGAUGAUUCCCUCGAGUUGGAUUCACAUCAUGAUUCACAUGGUCAUGAGGAGUUUGAGUUCAGUGAGGUUUUUGUUCAUCAACUUAUACAUACGAUUGAAUUUGUGCUUGG
rnacentral:misc_RNA from 1 species